AUUGAACGCUGGCGGCAGGCCUAACACAUGCAAGUCGAACGAGUGGCGGACGGGUGAGUAAUGUCUGGGCAACUGCCUGAUGGAGGGGGAUAACUACUGGAAACGGUAGCUAAUACCGCAUACCAUCGGAUGUGCCCAGAUGGGAUUAGCUAUUCGUGGGGGUAAAGGCUCACCUAGUCGACGAUCCCUAGCUGGUCUGAGAGGAUGAUCAGCCACACUGGUACUGAGACACGGUCCAGAUUCCUAAGGGAGGAAGCAGUGUGGAAUAUUGCACAAUGGGAGCAAGCCUGAUGCAGCCAUGCCGCUUGUAUGAAGAAGGCCUUCGGGUUGUAAAGUACUUUCAGCGGGGAGGCGUUACCCGCAGAAGAAGCACCGGCUAACUCCGUGCCAGCAGCCGCGGUAAUAC
rnacentral:rRNA from 1 species